CAGGGACGGAGUGGGGGACAGUGUGUGAGUUUGCAUACAUGUGUGCCUGUGCGUAAGGAGGGGGGUCCAAGUCCGUCAGAGACAAAGGGAAACAUCACUCAUGACAUGUCCUCUGAGAGUCCCUGCGAGGAGACCCCCGGGAAGCCUGGCUCCUGCAGACCCCAGAGCAGGUGGAAGGUAAGCGUGCUAGCAGUUGGGAGACCUCACCAAGGUAAGGAGCCAUGCGUGUCACAGGAAGUGAGGCUGGAGGGAUCUACCGGAGGGACUGGGAAACCAAACCCAGCAGUGUGGAUUUACCCCAGGAGCAGCGGAGAGUCACUCAAGGCUUCUCAGCAGAGAUGACAUGCACAGAUUAGGAUUUUGGCAAAAUUGGCAUGACUGUGGGGCAGGGAAAUCCACUGCACAGGAGCAAGAGGGGAGGCAAAGAAGCUGGUGAGAAGGUGAGUGAUCUGGUAGGGAGCUAGGUGCCGUGAGCAUGGGCAGCUGGAAUACUCUAGAGAAACUGCAGAGCUGCUGCGAGGGGCUUUCCAGAGAGGUUAUCUAGGCUUUCAGCCCUGGGAUUAAUGGCUGGUUUCCUGUUUUCUGAGAUGAGGAGCAUGGGGGAGACAGGAGAAUUGUAGUGAGCAGAGGGGCUGCUCUCACAUAUCUCAGUGGAGUUCAUGUACCUUUUUGUUCACGUACAGUCUGGAUCCACACUUCUCAAAUGCUAAAGCACAUCCCAUUUGAGCCCCCUGGACACCUUUUCAG
rnacentral:lncRNA from 1 species